GCCCUGGAAGACAGACAAACAAGUGUCUCAGGCUGGGCAGUAGUAAUUAGCUUCCAUCCCUGUGUAGAAUUCUCUCAGUAUUGCCCUCCACACACCUGUUGCUGCACUCUCCUCUGAGGUUCCAAGGUUCCCCCUGCCCCCGCCCAUGAGGGGUUUUCCAGCUAGAUCAACUUUACACCUGGGCUGCAGUUAGUCAACCCACACACACUCACUAGAUUAUAUCGAAGGGCAGUUUCCCAGGAGAGUCCCAGCUGCUUGGCCACCAUCUAAACCUCCUGAUGAAGAACACAGGCCUACGGAUGCUGACACAGAGAAGCCUGAGGUGCUGAGGCUGACCAUCUGAAGUCCGUAGAGUGAAAUCUCCUAGAAGGACAGGCUGGAAAGGAAGUUAGAGAGUAAUGUGCUUGCUCCAGAAGUUUGUAGCAGAAACGUUAAUAAGAAGGGAUCCUUUCCAGUUAUCUUUUCUCCUUAUCUUCUCUCUCUUCAUUUCCCUUUACUUAUUUGAUGCAACCCACCCCCACCACAGUGGUUUUUCUGGAGCCUCUAUUCAUAUCUCUAUCAUGUGAAUUACUUAGGUUUAGAUCUGAUCUGUAUCUACUAUCUGUCUUCUGUGUAGACUACUAACAUUUCAAGACCUUUGGAUACAGUAUAUACUUAAAUAUUGAGUGAAUAAAUGAAGAUCUUUUGUUGAAAAAGAUAUAAAUAUUAAUAAAAUAUCUACUUAGCACAUGAA